rnacentral:lncRNA from 1 species
GUGGUUUUGGCACUAUUUAAACAGUUUUAUGUGUGUUUGAAUUUCAACCAACCAACCAACCAACCAACCAACCAACCAACCAACCAAUCAAUCAAUCAAUGUUUCCGUUUCAUGUGUUUGAUACGGGAUUCAAGGUCUCUUUUUUUUCGCUUGUUUUAAUUGAGCCUAUCAAACGUGUUUAACCAACAUAUUUAACCAAUAUGUUUAACCAACGUGUUUAACCAACAUGUUCAACCAACGUGUUUAACAAACCAACCAACCAAUCAAUGCAUGUUUCCGUUUCAUGUGUUAAAUACGGGAUCGAAGAUGUGUUUUUUUUCGCUUGUUUAAAUUGAGCCUAUCCAACGUGUUUAACCAGCCAACGUGUUUAACCAAUAUGUUUAACCAACAUGUUUAACCAACCAACCAACCAACCAACCAACCAACCAAUCAAUGCAUGUUUCCGUUUCAUGUGUUAAAUACGGGAUCCAAGAUGUGUUUUUUUUUCUCGCUUGUUUAAAUUGAGCCUAUCCAACGUGUUUAACCAGCCAACGUGUUUCACCAAUAUGUUUAACCAACGUGUUUAACCAACAUGUUUAACCAACGUGUUUAACCAACCAACCAACCAAUCAAUGCAUGUUUCCGUUUCAUGUGUUAAAUACGGGAUCCAAGAUGGUUUUUUUUCGCUUGUUUAAAUUGAGCCUAUCCAACGUGUUUAACCAGCCAACGUGUUUAACCAAUAUGUUUAACCAACGUGUUUAACCAACGUGUUUAACCAACCAACCAACCAACCAAUCAAUCAAUCAAUGCAUGUUUCCGUUUCAUGUGUUAAAUACGGGAUCCAAUUUUGAGCCUAUCCAAUGUGUUUAACCAACGUGUUUAACCAACGUGUUUAACCAACCAACCAACCAACAACCAACAAACCAACCAAUCAAUCAAUCAAUGCAUUUUCUGUUUCAUGUGUUAAAUACGGGAUCCGAGAUGUUUUUUUUCGCUUGUUAAAAUUGAGCCUAUCAAACGUGUUUAACCAACGUGUUUAACCAACGUUUU